rnacentral:rRNA from 1 species
UGGGCGGCGUGCUAAAACUGCAAGUCGAACGGACGGUCGCAAGACCGUCAGUGGCGAACGGCUGAGUAACACGUAAGUGACCUGCCCUUUAGUGGGGAAUAACUGCUCGAAAGAGUGGCUAAUACCGCAUGUGCUCAUCUUUUCGUUGGGGUGAGUAAAGCCGUAAGGCGCUAGAGGAUGGGCUUGCGGCCGAUUAGCUAGUUGGCGGGGUAAGGGCCUACCAAGGCGAUGAUCGGUAGCUGGUCUGAGAGGAUGAUCAGCCAGACUGGGACUGCGACACGGCCCAGACUCCUACGGGAGGCAGCAGUUAGGAAUUUUGCGCAAUGGACGAAAGUCUGACGCAGCAACGCCGCGUGGAGGACGAAGGCCCUCGGGUCGUAAACUCCUUUUGCACGGGAAGAUGGUGACGGUACCGUGCGAAUAAGCCCCGGCUAACUACGUGCCAGCAGCCGCGGUAAUACGUAGGGGGCGAGCGUUGUCCGGAUUUAUUGGGCGUAAAGAGCGCGUAGGCGGCUUGCCAAGUCGUGCGUGAAAUACCCCGGCUCAACCGGGGGGGGUCGUGCGAUACUGGUAGGCUUGAGGCCGGUAGGGGGAAGCGGAAUUCCCGGUGUAGUGGUGGAAUGCGUAGAUAUCGGGAGGAACACCAGUGGCGAAGGCGGCUUCCUGGACCGGUCCUGACGCUGAGGCGCGAAAGCGUGGGGAGCGAACUGAAUUAGAUACUCAUGUAGUCCACGCUGUAAACGAUGGGUGCUAGGUGUCGGGGGUAUCGACCCCUCCCGGUGCCGCAGCUAACGCAUUAAGCACCCCGCCCUGGGGAGUACGGCCGCAAAGGCUAAAA